GUCUGCCAAGGCUUCUUUGUCUUGGUGGAUCGUGGGUUUCCUGUGUUGCCUACCUAAGCAAUGGUAUUGCCUUCGUUGAUCGUAGUCCCUUUUCUUCUAGUGUCAUACCUAUGACACUGGAAGAACCAUGAAGCGUUUUCUUUGAUCCAUCUUGUCAUCCAAAUGUGUUGAUUUUAUGGCUCAUCGAGCAUCGCUUGGUCUCCUGGAUACAGAACAUGAUUUGAGCAUAUUGGGUCUCAUGGGUUCCUUGUUUUGCUCUCAUUCAGCUUGUGYGUUUCUCUUACAAUGACUGCCUCGCCCGCCUAGGCUCGUACCUGCGUGGGAGGCCAUGUCAAAGGGAAAUGCUCUUCCUGUUUGGUGUGGGCAUGGUGUCUCAUGUGAUCCUUGUUUUGCUCUCAUUUAGCGUUCGCGCUUUCUUCAAAUGACUGCCUCCCUCGCCUAGGCUCGUACCUGCUUGGGAGGCCAUGUCAAAGAGGAUUGC
rnacentral:misc_RNA from 1 species